UCACACUGUGUCUCCAACUGCUCUACGACA
rnacentral:piRNA from 1 species